rnacentral:rRNA from 1 species
UACGAAGGGGGCUAGCGUUAAUCGGAAUUACUGGGCGUAAAGCGUGCGCAGGCGGUUGUGCAAGACCGAUGUGAAAUCCCCGGGCUUAACCUGGGAAUGGCAUUGGUGACUGCACGGCUAGAGUGUGUCAGAGGGGGGUAGAAUUCCACGUGUAGCAGUGAAAUGCGUAGAGAUGUGGAGGAAUACCGAUGGCGAAGGCAGCCCCCUGGGAUAACACUGACGCUCAUGCACGAAAGCGUGGGGAGCAAACAGG